rnacentral:rRNA from 1 species
GAUGAACGCUGGCGGCGUGCCUAAUACAUGCAAGUCGAGCGAACGGACGAGAAGCUUGCUUCUCUGAUGUUAGCGGCGGACGGGUGAGUAACACGUGGAUAACCUACCUAUAAGACUGGGAUAACUUCGGGAAACCGGAGCUAAUACCGGAUAAUAUUUUGAACCGCAUGGUUCAAAAGUGAAAGACGGUCUUGCUGUCACUUAUAGAUGGAUCCGCGCUGCAUUAGCUAGUUGGUAAGGUAACGGCUUACCAAGGCAACGAUGCAUAGCCGACCUGAGAGGGUGAUCGGCCACACUGGAACUGAGACACGGUCCAGACUCCUACGGGAGGCAGCAGUAGGGAAUCUUCCGCAAUGGGCGAAAGCCUGACGGAGCAACGCCGCGUGAGUGAUGAAGGUCUUCGGAUCGUAAAACUCUGUUAUUAGGGAAGAACAUAUGUGUAAGUAACUGUGCACAUCUUGACGGUACCUAAUCAGAAAGCCACGGCUAACUACGUGCCAGCAGCCGCGGUAAUACGUAGGUGGCAAGCGUUAUCCGGAAUUAUUGGGCGUAAAGCGCGCGUAGGCGGUUUUUUAAGUCUGAUGUGAAAGCCCACGGCUCAACCGUGGAGGGUCAUUGGAAACUGGAAAACUUGAGUGCAGAAGAGGAAAGUGGAAUUCCAUGUGUAGCGGUGAAAUGCGCAGAGAUAUGGAGGAACACCAGUGGCGAAGGCGACUUUCUGGUCUGUAACUGACGCUGAUGUGCGAAAGCGUGGGGAUCAAACAGGAUUAGAUACCCUGGUAGUCCACGCCGUAAACGAUGAGUGCUAAGUGUUAGGGGGUUUCCGCCCCUUAGUGCUGCAGCUAACGCAUUAAGCACUCCGCCUGGGGAGUACGACCGCAAGGUUGAAACUCAAAGGAAUUGACGGGGACCCGCACAAGCGGUGGAGCAUGUGGUUUAAUUCGAAGCAACGCGAAGAACCUUACCAAAUCUUGACAUCCUUUGACAACUCUAGAGAUAGAGCCUUCCCCUUCGGGGGACAAAGUGACGGGUGGUGCAUGGUUGUCGUCAGCUCGUGUCGUGAGAUGUUGGGUUAAGUCCCGCAACGAGCGCAACCCUUAAGCUUAGUUGCCAUCAUUAAGUUGGGCACUCUAAGUUGACUGCCGGUGACAAACCGGAGGAAGGUGGGGAUGACGUCAAAUCAUCAUGCCCCUUAUGAUUUGGGCUACGCACGUGCUACAAUGGACAAUACAAAGGGCAGCGAAACCGCGAGGUCAAGCAAAUCCCAUAAAGUUGUUCUCAGUUCGGAUUGUAGUCUGCAACUCGACUACAUGAAGCUGGAAUCGCUAGUAAUCGUAGAUCAGCAUGCUACGGUGAAUACGUUCCCGGGUCU